UACGGAGGGUGCAAGCGUUAUCCGGAUUCACUGGGUUUAAAGGGUGCGUAGGUGGGUUGGUAAGUCAGUGGUGAAAUCUCCAGGCUUAACUUGGAAACUGCCAUUGAUACUAUCAAUCUUGAAUACCGUGGAGAUGAGCGGAAUAUGUCAUGUAGCGGUGAAAUGCUUAGAUAUGACAUAGAACACCAAUUGCGAAGGCAGCUCGUUACACGAAGAUUGACACUGAUGCACGAAAGCGUGGGGAUCAAACAGG
rnacentral:rRNA from 1 species